AAUAUACUCCUUCUCCCUCGCAAGGGGCACUAGCAUACGAUAGGGUGCGUGCAUGGUCUGUCGUCAGCUCGUGUCGGGAGAUGUUGGGUUAAGUCCCGCAACGAGCGCAACCCUUAUUGUCAGUUGCCAUCAUUCAGUUGGGCACUCUGGCGAAACCGCCUCGGAUAACGGGGAGGAAGGUGGGGAUGACGUCAAGUCCUCAUGGCCUUUAUGUCCAGGGCUACACACGUGCUACAAUGGUUGGUACAAACCGUCGCAAACCCGCGAGGGGGAGCUAAUCGGAAAAAGCCAAUCCCAGUCCGGAUUGGAGUCUGCAACUCGACUCCAUGAAGCUGGAAUCGCUAGUAAUCGCAGAUCAGCACGCUGCGGUGAAUACGUUCCCGGGCCUUGACCACACC
rnacentral:rRNA from 1 species